UUUUUUUUUUUUUGCUUUUUAGGGCUGCACUCAUGGCACAUGGAAGUUCCCAGGCUAGGGGUCUAAUCAGAGCUGUUACUAUCGGCCUACCUCAGAGCCACAGCAACGCCAGAUCCGAGCCACAGCUCAUGGCAAUGCUGGAUCCUUAACCUACUGAGCAAGGCCAGUGAUCGAACCUGCAACCUUAUGGUUUCUAAUUGAAUUCAUUUCCUCUGAGCCAUGAUGGGAACUCCAAGAUUUUUUUUUGUUGUUGUUUUUUUUUGGUGUGUGUGUGUCCUUAGCAUGUUCUUCACACAAAAUUAUGUUAUUUGUGAAUACAAAUGUUUUUACUUCUUCCUUACCAAUCUGAAUUCCUUUUAUUUCUUUUUCUUAUCUAAUUGUCCUGGAUUUACUUUGCUUGUAAAUAAUAAUUUCCUCUUAAAGCUAUUUUUCUGACAAGUCAUGCAAUUAUAAUUAUAGGUCAAUUCAGAUCUGCCCUGCAUUUUUUGGACUCCUGUGUACUUUCUUAGGGGGCUCAUACAGACUCAAGUCAUCAGUGGGGGAGGGCAGUGUCUGAUCCUUGGUGCCAUCAUAAUUUUUUUGUUGUUGUUUUGCUUUUUGGGGUCACACUUAUGGCACAUGGAAGUUCCCAGGCUAGGAGUUGAAUCAGAGCUGUGGCUUCCAACCUACACCAUAGCCACAGCAAACACAGGCUCCAAGCCUAUCUGCAACCUACUCCACUGUUCACGGCAAUGCUCGAUCCUUACUUAACCCACUGAGUGAGUUCAGGGAUCAAACCUGCGUCCUCAUGGAUACAUGUCGGGUUUGUUACCACUGAGCCACAAUGAGAACACUGCCAUCAUCAUUCUUGUUUUCAUCUAAUGUUCAGCCACUUAUGUGUGCCUAUUACUGCUAUGUCCUCUUUGCUCCAAGCUCCUGGCCCCUUCAGAUCUCUUGUUCUCCAUGCUGUGUUGUCACAACCCUUGGGUGCUCACAAAACAAUUUACUAGCUCCCAUAUCUUUCUGGGUUGCGGGAAACUCUACUGAGGCUGUUUUGUAUCUGCCUGCCUGGCCUGAUGAGCACAGAAAGACAGAGUACUCUGGGCUCUCCCUGGGGACAGGGAGCAUGAACUUCUUCUGCCUGGAAUCCCCAACCAACAUGGAGCUUUGGUCAUUUGACUCCGAACCCCCAGUUCUGACUGUGAGUGGGGUACCAUUGAUGGAGCCUGUAUCACAGACAUCCCAUUUCAGCAUCUCACACCCUGUGUUCCUUUUUCACUCUCGAUUUCCCAGCUCAAGAAUUUUCAUGUGCUUGGAGCCAUUUACAUUGGCUCCUUACUUUUUUCUUUUCUUUUUAGGGUGGCACACUCAGUAUAUGGAAGUUCCCAGGCUAGGGGUCAAAUCAGAGCUGCAACUGCAGGCCUAUUCCUCAGCCACAUACAAUGCCAGAUCUGAGCUGUAUUCUGAGCCCUACAGAGGCUGGGGAUUGAACCUGAAUCCUCAUGGAUACAGGUCGGGUUCUCAACCCAAUCAGCCACAACAGGAACUUCCACUUUUUUUUCCUUUUUUUUUAAAUUGGUGGUUCUCAUUUGGGACAACUUUGCCUCCCAGGGGACGUUUGGCAAUGUCUGCAGACAUUUUUGGUUGUGACAACUGGGGAUGGAGUUGGUGCUACUGGCAGCUAGUCGAUAGAGGACUAGCUGCCAGUAGAUAGUAGUAGAGACAGAGAUAAUGCUAAAUUAAGUAAUUAAUGUAGAGAAUGAAUUAUAUGGACCAAAAAGUCAAUAGGAUGGAGGAAGGGAAAUCCUUUGUUAAAUCUACUGCUUAAGCAUUCAGUUCUUGAGGAUCUGGGCUUUGAAUUAAUAAUAAUAAAGCAUUUAAAUCUGAUUUUCUGUUGUUGCAUUGCCAUCCCCGUGGCAUGGAGACAGAAGGUCUAUAUGAUCAGGGAAGGAUGGGGAGCAGGAAGAAAUAACAAAAAAAUGCUAGUUGAACACUAUCAACUUUAAAAAAAAUGCACAACCUGAAAGUCGAGAGUUCCGUUUUAUUUGGGGCAAAUUAAGACUUAAGCCCAGGAGGCAGCAUUUCAGGUAGCUCUGAGAAAACUUUUCAGAGGAGGCAAGGGGGGAGCUAGGAUAGACAGGAAUUUUUGCAACAAAGACCAGCUAGUUGGAACAAAAUGUUUACAGAAAACCAGUUUCUAUGGGAAGAUGUGAAGGUCUGGGCUCACCGGAAUCACUCCUUUGAUAUGCACCCAGCUAUGGGCCAGUCUUCUUUGUUUCUUUCUGGAGUUCCCUCAGGGCUCCCCAGCUCACCCUUGGGAGUGGCUGCACUCACAGGAGACUGUGACAUCUUUUGUUUUGUCCACUUAACCACAGCCCAGGAAGCAAUAGUUCCGACAGCUCUGAAAUACCACCCCAAAGAGGAAAGGGGGACUAUCAAGGUAUAAGUGAUAAAGGGGAAGGGGAAGAUGCCUGCAGCCAGGCACACAUUUCACAGAAGUUUGCUGCUGGUCUCAUGAAAUUUACCAGUGGUCACAGACCUCACUCAUCGUUGAAGGAUUUUAGUGUUUCCGUAGAUAUGAGGUGAUGCAAUAAUUGGGCUCAUAAAAUCUUCUCCUGAAAAUAUCUAACCAUCUGAAGGCCCGUUCUCCCAGUUUUCCCAGAGCACAGGGUAUCUCUCUCCUGGUCUCCACCCUGAGCUCCACAUAGGAGCUGCUGUGGGUAGGCACUGCAGUGGCUCAGGAUUUACUCCAUGUAGAGGCUGAUGGCAAGCAACAGACUUCAGUUCACAAUACCUCAGAGCAAUGUAAAUGAAUGAGCCGUGGACACACACAAAAUAAUGUCAAAGAAAAGAAUAUAUAUGGUAUGAUUCCCUGUAUAUAAUUCUGAAAACAGGCAAAACUAUUUUAUUGGGUUAUUCAUAGCUAGAUGAUAACACUAUAAAGAAAAGCAAGGAUAAUAUCCAGGAGUCAGGAUAAUGAUUAUUUCUAGAGUGGGGAGGUGGAAGGGAAUUGUGAUGAAAAAAGGAUAAGAGAUGAGAUACUAAGGUACUGGUGACGUUCUAUUUUUUCUUUCCUUUAAAAGUACGUUUGUGUUUUAUAAACUUUUGCAUAUGUUUCAGAAUUAAAAAGUUGGGAAAAAAACACAUUAAUCAACAUUAAAAUCUCAUCCUCUUGGAACAGGAAA
rnacentral:lncRNA from 1 species